GACUGUAAGAGCCACCCUUUUUAAUUCCCUGCUGAAAACGUCAAGUCAUGAGGCUGAUAUUUGGGAUGGAAACGGAACUACGUCGGAAAUCUACGUGGGAUUUCACAACUUUUGGAAUUCAUCGUAUGGAAUUUGAGAUUUGACGCCAAAUCGGAUUUCAUCUCGUUUCCGUGUGUGUCCACAAUACGUGCCCGAGGUGGUCGGCAUCUCUGGGUUCGCAAACAAACCAGUUCCCGCUUAAGAAUAGCGAAUUUUGAGAAUAGUCACGUAGCUGACCCAAGUGAUGUGACGAAAAGAAAACCUGUUGGUUGACCUUGUCUCCAGAAGCACUCGCGAGAUUUUGAAGAUUUACGAUUCGCGUUGUUACAUCUUAUUCAGGGGUGGCAGACGGUAACGAAAUUGAAGUUGGGGCGGCUUACCAAACGCACGUCUAAAGGGUACACCUACAAUUGUGGCACCCACCUCAUCCUCGUUCGUUUUAGACGAAUGAACUCUUGUUGCAACAUCGUCUGUUAAAAAGCGAAGGAUAAAAAUGAUGGUGCCAUUGAACCAUACCAAAGGACCUGUCACACCAGAGUAGUGAAAAGCACAAACAGUUGCUGAAGUUUCAGGAACGAGUUAGGAUGGAAAAUACGACACGUGCAGUCUCACCUCUGAGCCCUGUGUGAACGGGGGUUACCCUGUGUUGAGCAGGUUUUUAUUCUAUUCCGUCGUCUGGAUUCCACCGCUACGACCAGAACAUGAACGAAUAUGUUACAGCAAGAAAAAUCAAACUAACCAAGUAAAACAACAAAAGUCAACCUACCUGACAGGCGUGGCGCAAUGAUGCUGUUGGAGCAGGAGUACAUUUGCG